CUUAGCCAUGCAGUCUCAGUACGAGCUGACUUAAAGUGAAACCGCAAAAGGCUCAGUAAACCGGUCAUAGUUUACCGGAUAUAUGCCACUCACGUGGAUAACUGUGGUAAUUCUAGAGCUAAUACAUGCAACCAAGUCCCGACCAGCGAUGGAAAGGACGCUUUUAUUGGAUCAAAACCAUUCGCCCGGCUCGCCCGGGCGUCUGCUUGAUGACUCUAGAUAACACCACAGAUCGCACGGUCACAGUACCGGCGACGUAUCCGUCAAAUGUCUGACUUAUCAGCUGUCGAUGGUAGACUCUGUGUCUACCAUGGCGCUCACGGGUAACGGGGAAUCAGGGUUCGAUUCCGGAGAGGGAGCCUGAGAAACGGCUACCACAUCCAAGGAAGGCAGCAGGCACGCAAAUUACCCACUCCCGGCACGGGGAGGUAGUGACAAAAAAUAACGAUACGGGACUCAUCCGAGGCCCCGUAAUCGGAAUGAGAACACCCUAAAUCCUUUAACGAGGAUCUAUUGGAGGGCAAGUCUGGUGCCAGCAGCCGCGGUAAUUCCAGCUCCAAUAGCGUAUAUUAAAGUUGUUGCGGUUAAAAAGCUCGUAGUUGGUUCUGCGUGCCACGCUGUCGGUUCACCGCCUGUCGGUGCAACUGGCAUGCCGUGGCAUGUCCUGUCGGUGGCUGACGGGCUUCUCGGCGUGCCCCACUCGCUCACGCGUGUGGGUCGACGUGCCGUGUUGUCCUCGUUGGCCGGCUCAAUCCUACCGCGGUGCUCUUAAACGAGUGUCGAGGUAGGCCGACACUGUUUACUUUGAACAAAUUAGAGUGCUUCAAGCAGGCUCUGAAAGCAGCCUGAAUAGUGGUGCAUGGAAUAAUGGAACAGGACCUUGGUUCUAUUUUGUUGGUUUUCGGAAUCCAAGGUAAUGAUCAAUAAGGACAGGCGGGGGCAUUCGUAUUGCGACGUUAGAGGUGAAAUUCUUGGAUCGUCGCAAGACGCACUAGAGCGAAAGCAUUUGCCAAGUAUGUCUUAAUUGAUCAAGA
rnacentral:rRNA from 1 species